CAGUGCAGGAGGUCUAAAACUUCAGUGCCCUGUGAUGCUCCCUCAAGACACGUUCCUGAUGGCUGACCUGAAAUUUCCUGACUUCUGUGCUAGGAGUUUUCUGCCAAAAAAUUCUGGAGACUACUGUCCACCCCAGGUGAUACGGGAAACAGCUGUAUGACUCAAACAGAGCACGGCAUUUCAACCCAGCACAAUAUCUGCAUAGGUGUGGGUGUGUGGCGGCGGCGGCGGCGGCGGCGGUGGCGGCAGUGGAGGAGGUGGAGGUGGCAGC